rnacentral:rRNA from 1 species
AUUGAACGCUAGCGGGAUGCCUUACACAUGCAAGUCGAACGGAGUGGCGAACGGGUGCGUAAUGUAUCGGAACGUGCCCAGUCGCGGGGGCUAACUACGCGAAAGCGUAGCUAAUACCGCAUACUCUUGGAGCGGCCGAUAUCGGAUUAGCUAGUGGGGGGGGUAAAGGCUAACCAAGGCAACGACCCCUAGCUGUUUUGAGAGGACGACCAGCCACACUGGGACGGAGACACGGCCCAGACUCCUACGGGAGGCAGCAGUGGGGAAUUUUGGACAAUGGGGGAAACCCUGAUCCAGCCAUCCCGCGUGUAGGAUGAAGGCCUUCGGGUUGUAAAGCACUUUUGGCAGGAAAGCGGUACCUGCAGAAUAAGCACCGGCUAACUACGUGCCAGCAGCCGCGGUAAUUC